rnacentral:rRNA from 1 species
AACGAACGCUGGCGGCAUGCCUAACACAUGCAAGUCGAACGAGACCUUCGGGUCUAGUGGCGCACGGGUGCGUAACGCGUGGGAACCUGCCCUUAGGUUCGGAAUAACUCCCCGAAAGGGGUGCUAAUACCGGAUAAUGUCAUCGGACCAAAGAUUUAUCGCCUUUGGAUGGGCCCGCGUUGGAUUAGCUGGUUGGUAGGGUAAAAGCCUACCAAGGCGACGAUCCAUAGCUGGUCGGAGAGGAUGAUCAGCCACACUGGGACUGAGACACGGCCCAGACUCCUACGGGAGGGAGCAGUGGGGAAUAUUGGACAAUGGGCGAAAACCUGAUCCAGCAAUGCCGCGUGAGUGAUGAAGGCCUUAGGGUUGUAAAGCUCUUUUACCCGGGAUGAGAAUGACAGUACCGGGAGAAUAAGCUCCGGCUAACUCCGUG